GUGUCGUCAGCUCGUGCCGUGAGGUGUCGGGUUAAGUCCCAUAACGAGCGCAACCCUUGCCUUUAGUUGCCAGCAGUUCGGCUGGGCACUCUAAAGGGACUGCCGGUGUUAAACCGGAGGAAGGUGGGGAUGACGUCAAGUCCUCAUGGCCUUUAUGACCAGGGCUACACACGUACUACAAUGGCCGAUACAAAGGGCAGCGACACUGCGAGGUGAAGCCAAUCCCGUAAAAUCGGUCUCAGUCCGGAUUGGAGUCUGCAACUCGACUCCAUGAAGUUGGAAUCGCUAGUAAUCGUGGAUCAGCAUGCCACGGUGAAUACGUUCCCGGGCCUU
rnacentral:rRNA from 1 species